ACUAAGCGUACACGGUGGAUGCCCUGGCAGUCAGAGGCGAUGAAGGACGUGCUAAUCUGCGAUAAGCGUCGGUAAGGUGAUAUGAACCGUUAUAACCGGCGAUUUCCGAAUGGGGAAACCCAGUGUGAUUCGUCACACUAUCAUUAACUGAAUCCAUAGGUUAAUGAGGCGAACCGGGGGAACUGAAACAUCUAAGUACCCCGAGGAAAAGAAAUCAACCGAGAUUCCCCCAGUAGCGGCGAGCGAACGGGGAGGAGCCCAGAGCCUGAAUCAGUGUGUGUGUUAGUGGAAGCGUCUGGAAAGGCGCGCGAUACAGGGUGACAGCCCCGUACACAAAAAUGCACAUACUGUGAGCUCGAUGAGUAGGGCGGGACACGUGGUAUCCUGUCUGAAUAUGGGGGGACCAUCCUCCAAGGCUAAAUACUCCUGACUGACCGAUAGUGAACCAGUACCGUGAGGGAAAGGCGAAAAGAACCCCGGCGAGGGGAGUGAAAAAGAACCUGAAACCGUGUACGUACAAGCAGUGGGAGCCUCUUUUAUGGGGUGACUGCGUACCUUUUGUAUAAUGGGUCAGCGACUUAUAUUCUGUAGCAAGGUUAACCGAAUAGGGGAGCCGAAGGGAAACCGAGUCUUAACCGGGCGUUAAGUUGCAGGGUAUAGACCCGAAACCCGGUGAUCUAGCCAUGGGCAGGUUGAAGGUUGGGUAACACUAACUGGAGGACCGAACCGACUAAUGUUGAAAAAUUAGCGGAUGACUUGUGGCU
rnacentral:rRNA from 1 species